UUUAACGGCCGCGGUAUUUUGACCGUGCAAAGGUAGCGCAAUCAAUUGUUUUUUAAAUGAAGACCAGUAUGAAUGGCGCAACGAGGGCUUAACUGUCUCCCUUUUCUGGUCCAUGAAAUUGAUCUCCCCGUGCAGAAGCGGGGAUAAUAACAUAAGACGAGAAGACCCUUUGGAGCUUAAAACGCAAGGGUAGCUUGAAUUAAUUAGACCGACUUUAAUAAGGCUAACCCGAUUCCACCUCUACCCUAGUGUUUUUGGUUGGGGCGACCACGGGAUAAAAGGAACCUCCCGCGCAGAAUGGAUAUACACAUAUAUCUCUAUCUAAGGGCGACAGCCCUAAGACCCAGAACUUUUGACUAUCAGAUCCGGCUCAGCCGACCAACGAACCAAGUUACCCCAGGGAUAACAGCGCAAUCCUCUUUCAGUGCCCAUAUCGACAAGGGGGUUUACGACCUCGAUGUUGGACCAGGACAUCCUAAUGGUGCAGCAGCUAUUAAGGGUUCGUUUGUUCAACGAUUAAAGUCCU
rnacentral:rRNA from 1 species